ACAGAGCCACCAAGCAGUGCUGCAUACGGGGUCCACCUGUGUGCACCAGGAUGCCUGACACCAUGCUGCCCGCCUGCUUCCUCGGCCUACUGGCCUUCUCCUCCGCGUGCUACUUCCAGAACUGCCCGAGGGGCGGCAAGAGGGCCAUGUCCGACCUGGAGCUGAGACAUGCCUCCCCUGCGGCCCCGGGGGCAAAGGCCGCUGCUUCGGGCCCAGCAUCUGCUGCGCGGACGAGCUGGGCUGCUUCGUGGGCACGGCUGAGGCGCUGCGCUGCCAGGAGGAGAACUACCUGCCGUCGCCCUGCCAGUCCGGCCAGAAGGCGUGCGGGAGCGGGGGCCGCUGCGCCGCCUUCGGCGUUUGCUGCAACGACAGAGCUGCGUGACCGAGCCCGAGUGCCGCGAGGGCUUUCACCGCCGCGCCCGCGCCAGCGACCGGAGCAACGCCACGCAGCUGGACGGGCCGGCCGGGGCCUUGCUGCUGCGGCUGGUGCAGCUGGCCGGGGCGCCCGAGCCCUUCGAGCCCGCCCAGCCCGACGCCUACUGAGCCCCGCGCUCGCCCCACCGGCGCGCUCUUCGCGCCCGCCCCUGCAGCACGGACAAUAAACCUCCGCCAAUGCACGGCCUCGCGUCU
rnacentral:lncRNA from 1 species